UGCUAGCUAAGCUAAAUGUAGCCUAGCCUAAAACCAAAGCUAAGAGUAGCCUAGUAGCCUUGCAAAAGAACAAGCUUUAUUAAAGUGUAUUUUUUUGUCAUUUACAGGAAGCAGUAUGCCGUCUUCACAACUCGGAGACAAAUUGCAGGCGCUAUGAACAGGAGCGAGGCGGUGACCUCCUAUUUGCUCGGAGCAAUAUCUGCAAUUCCAGAUUUACACAAUGUUGAUAAAGACGAAAUUGUGUCCGCCUGUAAGACCUGUUAUGAGACGGUACGCAGGAGAGUACGCAGCCAGAAAACUCAUUGCGGGCGGAAGCUGCGAAGAGCUCAGCUCGGAGUCGAGCGAGAAGAAAGAGGCUGCUGGAAUCGAGACAGAGUGUGCUAGCAGAUGACGAGGUGGAACUCUGGAAUUCCGCCACCGUAAACCUCAUGUCUGACGAAGAAGAUGGCGUUG